UACGUAGGGUGCGAGCGUUGUCCGGAAUUAUUGGGCGUAAAGAGCUUGUAGGCGGUUUGUCGCGUCUGCCGUGAAAAUCCGGGGCUCAACCCCGAGCCUGCAGUGGAUACGGGCAGACUAGAGGUAGGUAGGGGAGAAUGGAAUUCCCGGUGUAGCGGUGAAAUGCGCAGAUAUCAGGAGGAACACCAGCGGCGAAGGCGGCGCUCUGGGCCGGAACUGACGCUGAGGAGCGAAAGCGUGGGUAGCAAACAGG
rnacentral:rRNA from 1 species